GGCUCCAGAGAGCAUGCUGGGACUUCCAUUAACACCAGCCACUGACAUCUGGUCUCUGGGCUGCAUUGCUGCAGAGCUGUUCCUGGGGUCGCAACUUUACCCUGGAAACUGUGAAUAUGACAUGUUACAACUUAUCACCCAGACUCAGAGUCGGAUACCGGAGCGACUUCUCAAAAUUGCACAGGACACUAGAUGUUUUUUGAGUAAAAGGAAGAAACGUGAAGCGAGAAAACGAUGGAUCCUGAAGAGCCCGAAGGAAAUGGGAGUCAGAACCAGGAUCAAGAGCCAAUUCGAAUCCCUGGACAGCCUCAUCAGUGUGAGAUUUUUAGUUCUAGAAAAACAUUUGACAAAGACAUGAGCCUGUGAGAUUUUAUUGAACUUUGUGAUCUUUUUCUCUGACUCAGGUCAGACCAGUCUGCCAUUUAUCGGAGGAGGACACCAUGGCAGAACUUGAAGACAGACAAUUAUUUGUCAACCUACUAAAGAGGAUGCUGCGUCUGGACUCUGGCAACCGCAUAACACCCAGCCAGAUAUUUCAAGAUCCCUUCAUGACAAUGAACUACAUUGAAGAGAAACACCCCGACAGCUUCUAUGUGAAAUUGUGCUUUGAGCUGAUGGAAGUCUGUCGGACGAAGCCAGUUCAGCCAGUGCAGCCACCAUGGUCGAACCUACAAGUAUCUACCAGCCUGGGCGAGUGCAACACCUCCAACUGGGUCAUUCCUGCUUGGCACUUCCACC